GGGCGGUUAGCUCAGCGGAAGAGCACUACGUUGACAUCGUAGGGGUCACUGGUUCGAUCCCAGUACCGCCCACCA
rnacentral:tRNA from 1 species